AACGAACGCUGGCGGCGUGCCUAACACAUGCAAGUCGAGCGCGAAUGGAGCAAUCCUAGUAGAGCGGCGCACGGGUGCGUAACACGUGGGUAAUCUGCCCUGGAGCCCGGGAUAACCUGCCGAAAGGCAAGCUAAUACCGGAUAAGCCUACGGUCCCCUCGGGGACUGAAGGAAAAGGUGGCCUCUGCAUGCAAGCUAUCACUUCAGGAUGAGCCCGCGGCCCAUCAGCUAGUUGGCGGGGUAACGGCCCACCAAGGCGACGACGGGUAGCUGGUCUGAGAGGACGAUCAGCCACACUGGAACUGAGACACGGUCCAGACUCCUACGGGAGGCAGCAGUGGGGAAUUUUGCGCAAUGGGCGAAAGCCUGACGCAGCAACGCCGCGUGUGUGAUGAAGGUCUUCGGAUUGUAAAGCACUUUCGACCGGGACGAAAACCCGCUGGCCAAUAUCCAGCGGCUUGACGGUACCGGGAGAAGAAGCACCGGCUAACUCUGUGCCAGCAGCCGCCGUAAUAC
rnacentral:rRNA from 1 species